rnacentral:snRNA from 1 species
GUCCGGCAGCACGUAUACUAAAAUUGGAAUGAUACAGAGAAGAUUAGCAACGCCCCUGUGCAAGGAUGACACACAAAUUCGGGAAGCGUUCCAUGUUUUU